AAGACUUAUCUCUGUCAGUCCAGGUGACUCUGUAUAAAUUCUCACAGCAGAGAAUUACUACUACAAGUUUGCUGAGGUGUCUGAUCUCCAUUUCCACCCUGACCUGUUUGUUCCUAAUUCCCUGUAAAAACUGUUUUUUUUUCCAAAGGUGUACAAAGGACUGUAGGUAACAGCAGCUGCUCUCGGCUGUGUAACAGGAGUGCGGACUCAGACUGCUCAGUGUACAGUACAAAUUCACAUUAACACUGUGAGAUAAAUUCACAUUAACACUGUGAACUGCUGCUCUGAAGGGCUCUGUCCAUCCCUUACAAAUCUGACUUUUCAAGGAAUUAUUUUUAAAAAGGUGUGUAUGUGAAGAAGCCUCAUCUUUAACCAUGCUUGGCCACCCACUUUUAUCUGAAAUUCAAUUUAUCUGUUCUGUUAGGGACCCUGCUUAUUCCUAGAAUGGGAUUCAAACCAGCUGAGCUCCAGUUCCCUUUAAAACAUGGAGAGCCCUUCGGUUGUGUCAAAGUUUGUAACAAGUUGCUGUGAAGAGGAAACACAAUCCACAGACAAAGCAACAUCCCACUGACUUGUGAAAUGCUGAAGAAUUAUGUUAAUCUCAAAUUUGCUCAGCACCCUUACUGGAAUGGACUGAAAUAAUAACGAAUAGGAGGCAGGUGCCCGGGUGCCCAUAAAAAUCCCAGUCCUCUGGAUGUCUCGCAAGCUAACAGCCCUGUGACAGGCGGCCCCGCCCGCGACGACAGCGCGCCGGGACAGCGCGGGAGGGAGGCGGCACGGACCGAGGGGCUCCGGCCCGGCCCGCAGGACCCGCACCGACCCGCACCAACCCGGCCCGGCCCGGCCCGCAGGGACCCGCACCGACCCGGCCCGGCCCGGCCCGGCCCGCAGGGACCCGCACCGACCCGGCCCGGCCCGCAGGGACCCGCACCGACCCGCACCAACCCGGCCCGGCCCGGCCCGCAGGGACCCGCACCGACCCGGCCCGGCCCGGCCCCGGCUGCAGCUGCGGCGGCGCUCGGCUGGAGAGGACCCCGGGCCGAGAGCCGCAGGGCAGUGCCGGGUACUGCCCCGCGCCUGGAGCCGUGUUUGCUGCGAGCUCCGCUGCGUCUGAGCUCUGCGGGAUCACCUCACAAGGCAGGGGAGGUCACUGAUAUCUGGGACUAGGGGACCCACUGGACUGCUAUGAAGAGCUCUUUGCUCUUAAUGAACAAAGGCGCUGUGGGCCUGGAGACGCAGAAGUGACUUGCAGAGGAUCCUCUCAGAAGCUCAGCCUGUAAAGUGGUGAGUUUGGCCAUGUCACCACUGAUUUGUGUGGGGGUGAUGCAGAGCUGGGACUAGGAAGUGACACCUUUGUUGUCACACUGAAUGUGGGUUUGUGCUGCAGUAGGUCUGGAAAUGGUUGUAAACGUUCUGGUAGUAGUGGGCUUCUGUAGUGUUUGGCUCCUGUAGGGUACACUGAUUUCCCUGGAUUUCCCUGGGAAGAUGCCAGGCUGUUGAAGAUCUGGUGUUCCUUGGAGCUGGCAGAGGACUUGUGGCACAGGUACACUGGGGUUCCUAUGGGUUUUCAUCCUGACAGUGAGUAGGGAUAUGUUAUCUUCCCUUCCUGGCAGUGAGGCACUGUUGUUUGUGCUGUGAUACUUGCUGUAAAUCUAUUGCCUGUAUCAAAGUCUGUUUCUGUUAUGAAAAAUCUGUGGGAGUGUUUGUGGCCAUGGAAAGGCACAGACUGACCGGUUUUCUUGCUGCCAUCCCAUCCCUGCUGCUCCGAAGGGACAUGGGUUCACUCUCAUGCUCACUGGGGGGGCUUAAUGGCUAUUGCUCCCUUAGAAAAUAGGGAUGGUGUGUGUCUCCUCUUGGCCUUUGGUACCAGUGCCACUUUCAUACAUAAAUGGGUACAGGGUAUCUAGUUUGUGUUUCUGUGGAUCCUGAGCAAGCACUUAGGUCGUGUUCAUAAUCCCUGGGGCAGAGGAGAAGAUCAGGUCAGGUAUAGAUUUACCAAAGGGAUAAGUCACACAAAAUCUGAUCCUUGGGCAUUCCUCCCCACUCUGCACAAGACCUCCAUUCAUCACUGGAGAGCUUGUGACAUUCCCGCUCUGUGACCUGCUCAGAAGUUUUCAUGAAGUUUCCCUUCUGCAGUUUGCUGGCCUUCAGUUCUGUGGUUCUAACCAAAGCAUUUGAAAUUUUCCUUGAAAAUUGAUCUGAAAUGGGAACACUCAAGCUCAAAAGAUUACUUCAAGUUAACAAAAAAAACCACAGAAAGCCAACCCAAAGCGAAAAGAGAACUUCUAGGUGAAAUAUACUCACUGAGU
ensembl:lncRNA